rnacentral:rRNA from 1 species
CCUAACACAUGCAAGUCGAACGGUAACAGGAAGAAGCUUGCUUCUUUGCUGACGAGUGGCGGACGGGUGAGUAAUGUCUGGGAAACUGCCUGAUGGAGGGGGAUAACUACUGGAAACGGUAGCUAAUACCGCAUAACGUCGCAAGACCAAAGAGGGGGACCUUCGGGCCUCUUGCCAUCGGAUGUGCCCAGAUGGGAUUAGCUAGUAGGUGGGGUAACGGCUCACCUAGGCGACGAUCCCUAGCUGGUCUGAGAGGAUGACCAGCCACACUGGAACUGAGACACGGUCCAGACUCCUACGGGAGGCAGCAGUGGGGAAUAUUGCACAAUGGGCGCAAGC